rnacentral:rRNA from 1 species
UACGUAGGGUGCGAGCGUUAAUCGGAAUUACUUGGCGUAAAGCGUGCGCAGGCGGUUCUAUAAGACAGAUGUGAAAUCCCCGGGCUCAACCUGGGAAUGGCAUUUGUGACUGUAGAGCUAGAGUACGGUAGAGGGGGAUGGAAUUCCGCGUGUAGCAGUGAAAUGCGUAGAUAUGCGGAGGAACACCGAUGGCGAAGGCAAUCCCCUGGACCUGUACUGACGCUCAUGCACGAAAGCGUGGGGAGCAAACAGG